AUGGCUUUGGUCCAACGGUUUGGGAAACCAGACAUAUUCCUUACAAUGACUUGCAACCCACAUUGGGAAGAGAUAACUAGAGAACUAGCAGAAGGUCAAUCACCACAAGACAGGCCGGACUUGGUAGCACGAGUCUUCAAGUCAAAAUUAGAGGAUUUAAAGGAUCUUUUGUUUAGGAAGAAAUUCUUUGGUGAAGUUGAUGAACAUGUGCACGUAAUUGAAUUUCAGAAAAGAGGUCUACCACAUGCACAUUUUCUAAUAAUUCUGAAAUCAAACUACAAGAUAACUAAUCCGGACCAAUAUGAUGAGAUAAUAUUAGCUGAAAUUCCUGAUAAUGAUAAAUAUCCUAUACUGCAUGAUUUAGCUAUUAAGCACAUGAUGCAUGGCCCAUGUGGAGUUCUCAACAUAAAUAAUCCUUGCAUGGAAAAUGGAAGUUGUCAAUAUCAUUAUCCUCGACAUUUCGCAGAGACCACACAACAAGGAGAGGAAUCUUAUCCAAUUUAUAGGCGCAGGAAUGACGGCCGCCGAGUGCGCAUCAGGGGUGCAGUUUUGGAUAAUAGAUGGGUUGUCCCAUACAAUCCCUAUUUACUUAUUCGAUACAAUUGCCAUAUAAAUAUUGAAGUUUUCUCUAGCAUCAAGGCUGUGAAAUAUUUAUUCAAAUACAUCUACAAAGGUCAUGAUUGUGCCUCCAUUGUCAUCGAAGCCGCAGAAGAUGAUGCAGUUAUUAAUGAAAUUCGUGAGUAUAGAGAUGCAAGGUUUAUUUAA
rnacentral:rRNA from 1 species